rnacentral:hammerhead_ribozyme from 1 species
AUCCAGUUGACGAGUCCCAAAUAGGACGAAACAGACGUCCUGGAU